AAAAAGGCAAACACUGGGUUUCCGUGCCAAUAUUUGACUGUCUGUCUUAUAUGAAAUUUUUUUUGUAAUUAGUAUUUUCAUUGUUGUUAGAUGAUAAAACAAGAUUAAUACUUUAUGCGUGACUUAUCUUUUUAAUUUUUUUCAAAUAAGAUGGACGGUCAAACGUUGGACACGAAAACCAGGGUUUGUCUUUUU
rnacentral:pre_miRNA from 1 species